rnacentral:miRNA from 1 species
UUACACCUCAUCAACUGGAAGGGAUUCCUUCCGGUUGAUGAGGUUGUUAAACCUCAUCAAUUGGAAGGAAUCCCUUCCGGUCCUCAUCGAUCAGAAGGGAUUCCUUCCAAUCAAUGAGGUGUAACAACCUCAUCGACCAGAAGAAAUUCCUUCCGAUCGAUGAGGUGUAA